UACGAAGGGUGCAAGCGUUACUCGGAAUUACCGGGCGUAAAGCGUGCGUAGGCGGUUUGUUAAGUCUGUCGUGAAAGCCCCGGGCUCAACCUGGGAAUGGCGAUGGAUACUGGCGAGCUAGAGUACGGUAGAGGAGAGUGGAAUUCCCGGUGUAGCAGUGAAAUGCGUAGAGAUCGGGAGGAACAUCAGUUGCGAAGGCGGCUCUCUGGACCAGUACUGACGCUGAGGCACGAAAGCGUGGGGAGCAAACAGG
rnacentral:rRNA from 1 species